rnacentral:rRNA from 1 species
AGUCAUAUGCUUGUCUCAAAGAUUAAGCCAUGCAUGUCUCAGUACAAGCCAAAUUAAGGUGAAACCGCGAAAGGCUCAUUAAAUCAGUUAUGGUUCCUUAGAUCGUACCCACAUUUACUUGGAUAACUGUGGUAAUUCUAGAGCUAAUACAUGCAAACAGAGCUCCAACCGGAGACGGAAGGAGUGCUUUUAUUAGAUCAAAACCAAUCGGCGGCAGUGGCGUUUCGGCGUUGCUGUUCGUCGCACUAUUUGGUGACUCUGAAUAACUUUUAGCUGAUCGCACGGUCUCGCACCGGCGACGCAUCUUUCAAAUGUCUGCCUUAUCAACUGUCGAUGGUAGGUUCUGCGCCUACCAUGGUUGUAACGGGUAACGGGGAAUCAGGGUUCGAUUCCGGAGAGGGAGCCUGAGAAACGGCUACCACAUCCAAGGAAGGCAGCAGGCGCGCAAAUUACCCACUCCCGGCACGGGGAGGUAGUGACGAAAAAUAACGAUACGGGACUCAUCCGAGGCCCCGUAAUCGGAAUGAGAACACUUUAAAUCCUUUAACGAGGACCAAUUGGAGGGCAAGUCUGGUGCCAGCAGCCGCGGUAAUUCCAGCUCCAAUAGCGUAU